rnacentral:lncRNA from 1 species
CGAAAUUGAGUGAAACAAAAAGGAAAGUUGUAGUACUUGACGAGACGAAGAGAUUGAUACCUACCUCGACUCCUAACUCGCCGGGGAUUCGCCGGAAAAUGCCUCGAAAGCUCCGGCCAAACUUUGAACUUGUCGAUCUCCGUGUUCUUACGUCCAAAAACUUCCAACGAAGCACUCCGAGCUUCCUUGGAACCUCACUAAGCUCACUGUGAGCUUGGAUUGUCCUAAAACAAAGUCAAUUCGAAGAUCAUGAACAGUGCACUUUCACGGGGAGUUUAGAAUCUAGGUUUUCCGAAGUAAAACUUACCUGAAAUUGGUGUCUACGUGAUCGUGGAGUCUCCAGGAGUUCGAUGGUGGUCUUAACUCCGUCGUUGGUAUAGAUUUAGGGUGGUUUUGGAGCUCGUCUGUGUGAGUUCGAAGGAGAGGGAGAGAGACAGAGAAUGAGAGAUUGUGAGGGAGGAGAGAGAGAGACAGGGUACGGGAAAUAGGGAGGGAUUUGAGGUGUGUGGUCCUACCUAACCCCAAAUCAUAAAAUUCCAUCUCCAAAUAACUUAGAAACAUAUAUUUCACCAAUAUAUGAUUCACAUAUCUUAAUCACGUUUAAGGGAAAUUCCGUCAAUUUACAAUCACGAGUGUAAAACUUUGGGACGGGCUGUGACAAUCUACCCACCUUAUAGAAUUUCGUCCCCGAAAUUCCAGCAACCAACUAAAUCAACCAUACUCCAACAAUAGCUUCGGGUAAAUCUCUCUCAUCCGAUUCUCUUCUCCCACGUAAUUUCUUCCACCGAAUAAUUUCUUCACACAACUUUUACCACUUACACUGUUUUAAUUCUUAGGACUUCCUUUCUCCAAUCCAAAAUCGUCCUUAGUUCCUUAUCAAUCAAAUCCAGUUUAAUUCUCAAUAGUUGCACCAGAAUCUCAUGUGACGAAUCUACCACCUAGUGACAACGUAUCGAACCCAAAAUACAUUAAGUACCUUAGCCAACUCUGAAGACAUCACCACUUGUAUGCAACUUUAUUGAUUCCUUUAGUGAUCAAAAAUGGUCUGAUGUGUCUAAAUCUUAUCUUGUCUCCUUUCCAAUUCUCGCCAUUUCUGCUCGUGGUGAAUUUUCCAAAAUAUCGAAUCAUGAAACACAUCAUGUACUUACAACAACUCUGGAAGCCAUUUAAAUCUGUAUUCAACUUCACCAACCCUUCGAUGAUCACAUAAAAUUCGGUUCACCUAGGAUUUAACUUGCCUUCCUAUCCAGACCGAAUCACACUUUUCCAAGGUGAAAACUUCGAAAAUAUAAAACCAUCUGUCUUAUACACUUGAUUAGUGGCAUAUCCAUCUGUUGAUCUCUUUUGCCAUUCCUGAUUACUUCAGGUUAACUUAAUCACCUGAAUACUUUAAGGAGACUCAUCCAUAGUCUCAGGGUCUACUAAAACUCUUUCUCGAUCGAAUCUUUCUCUACCCAGAAACAUUCCAUUCACAAGUCAUCAAAAACCGACUCACGUGACACAUUUCAUGGUCCUUAUGGCGUUACUUCGGAAACUGCACAACCAACAUACUUAAGAAACUUAGCAGUUCCGUAAUCCAAUUCUCUUUUCCAUAAAACAAAUAAGUAGUGUUGCACUGUCUGGGAAAGGUUGUUACUCAACACUGGAGUAAAUGUACUAACUUGUUACUUAACAAGUAUAACUUCUUCUCGAUCUUCCAUUCUUAAUUUUUCUUCCGUUGGUUUUCAAUCCACAAAAUGAUACUCUUGGCAAACGUGCCAGAUAUUAAUCUUACUGUAGUCUUUCUCACCAAGUGCUUCAGCUAGAACAAAUUUUACGAUCACCCUGAUCGUACAAUCAUGUUCAUUAAGCAAUACAAUUCACUUUCGCUGCCUCUCAUAUCAAAAUCCUUCCAAGUAAUGGAUAUUGAAGACUUUUUGGAUUCGUAAAAAAAAAUCUUGCAUUCCCACUAAAAUAUAAUGUCUCCAUAACUUCACAGCAAGAAUGGUAAUCGUAAUCGUGACUUCCAAAUCACCAGUAGGGUAAUUCAUCUUAUGAGAUUCCAUUUAUCGUGAAACGUAUGCAAUCACCCUAACAUUUGCAUCAACAUGCCUCCAAAUACCAUUCAAGAAACAUCACUAAAAAUUUAUGAUUACCACUAUUCUCUGGGAAUACCAAACCAAAAUACGUGCAUGAGUGAGGAAAUACUUCAGUUAUUGAAUCCUUUGCUCACAAUUUCCUUCCCACUCAUACAUAAUCUCUUUUCUCAACAGUCUCAUCAAUGACAAAUCAAUGACUAAAAAAAUCUUUCACAACCAUCCAAGAUAGCCUGGUAAGCUAAGAAAUUCCAAAUCUCAAUUACGACUCGUGGUUGUUCCAAAUUCUCAAUUUCUGCUAUCUUUUAAGGAUUCACUUGAAUACCUUAAGAGUAUAUAACAAAUCUCAGAAUACCACCUGAUUCAUCCAACAUUCGCAUUUGCUAAACUUUGCAUACAAUCGACAUUCUUCCAAUCUUUGCUUCACCAACUUAAUAUGUUUACAUGCUCUGCUCUGGCUCAGAAUGUACCAGAAUAUCGUCAAUGACAAAUGAUAACAAUUUAUCAUGACAUUCGUGGAAUACUUCAUCCAUAAACUCCUAAAACAACGUGAGUUUUCUUAUAGCAUCACCAAAGCUCAUAAAAGAUCAUAACAAAUCCAGAAUACCAUCUUAUGAUCAAUGUCGCUCAAAAUCUUCAAUUGGUAAUAACCAGACCUCAAUCAAUCAAUCUUUGAAAUUACACACAAACAUCUCUGAGCUUAUCAACUAAACAUCAGUACACACUAUCAUGGAUAACGGUUCUCGUUCUCGAUCGUUACCAAUUCCAUUGUCUAUAAUCAAUGAACAAUCUCUAAGUCCAUUUUCUUUCUCACCAACAAACUGGUGCUCCUCAAAAGUGUUGUACUAGGUUGAAUGAAAUUUUUUAUCAACCAAUUCUUUCAACUGAAUUUCCAAUUCACUUAACUCAUCAUGAACCAAUCUCUAUCAUAAGAUUUAUACCUGGCAACAAUUCAAUAGUGAACCUCAUAUCUCUGCCUGAAGGCAAUCCAGGUAUACUUUCAAGGAAGACAUCAAAAAAAGUCUAACCCCUUUUUCAUUUUUCACACUUCUCCGAGCAACAUCCUUUAGUACCACAUGAGCUAAGUAUUUUUGACAGCCUUUCGAAAACAAUCUAUUUGCUCUCACAGCAUUAAUAACGGCCUGACUCAAUCCAUUUUGCAUACUUACAAAAGUAAUCUCUGGUCAUCCAGAUCGAUGGAAAGUACUGGUUUCCCGUAACAUUCCGUCUUAUCACAAUUAUAACCAACCAAUCUAAUGGAACAGAAUUAACUGAUACAAUAUAUAUUUUAUUAUACUAACAUAAAAUAAUCUACCGGUUUGCUUGCUUAACGAAUCCACGAAUGAGUUAUUAAUAUUACGGUCUGCAGCCCGCAAUACUGAUAAAUCAUCGUUGUCUCGAUAAGUAGGCAACCACUCUCAAAGAUAUAACAUUACUAUUUUGUCACUCAAUGCAAAAUACAUACACUCAUCUCAACUACAUUUAUUUACUACUCUCAAGGUAAUAACAUACAUAAUAAGAAAUAUAUCAGCCGAAGUCAACUAGAAUGACCCGUACGGCUGAUUCAACAAUUAUCUCAAUAAUACGUCGGCCGGAUCCACUCCGCGUGGUCGGUACGGCCGAGCCUAUAACUCACCAAUUUCUCAUGUGUCAGUCGAAUCCACUUCUCAUGGUCUGUACAGCUGAACAUAUAACUCAUCAAAUCUCUCUGUACUCACGGUCAAUCCGACCAAACUACUAAGUCCAUAACUCUGCUGAAUCGACACUAUGAUAUCAUGGAAAAUUGUUGAGUACAACUGAUUCUAUAGACGAUUCACAAUUCUGUGUCCCCUCUGUUCACAUAAACACAUUCAUUAAUUUCACACUUCCCAAAGUGUUAAUUUUGUACCUGCUGCACAAAGUAUAUUUCCUUUACUCGAGACACCUUGUCUCAAAUAUCUGGGAUUACCAGUAUAUCCAUCACUUUUAUUCUGACCAGCGACAUUAAAACCUCUGCUGGAAGAAUUAACUCUAGCUUCACUUCUUUUGAAGCUCUGAAUCUUUCUAUAUCCUUGAUAUGACGAAUCAUUAACUUUAUCGUCUUCUUUUAAUUCCUAAUCUUUUCUUAUUCUUCUUUACUCUAGCUGAUCAUAUUCUCAGAGUUCUCAAGGCUCAACAACAUCUUGUAUACUCUUGGUAAGAAAUACAAUGGAUAGUGGUCACCCAAAUUACCACUUCCCUUUUUGCCACCCAGCUUAAAACACAUAACACCUCCACCAAAUUAACAACAAUAUCUGGAUGGAACGAGGCAAGUCUGAAAACUUUCUAUAAUAUCCCUCGAUCAUCACCUUCAUUGUCUCAUAUUUGUAAACUCUUGUUUACUACCAUCAAUAAAUGCCGGAGGGAUAAACUUUUCCUUAAAAAAUUUUAAAUCGGCUGAUUCCUCUGGUGACAACAAUUAACAUUCCUGUUUCCACCAGGAUGCAAAUUCAUACCCAAAACCAGGUAGUCGUCUCGACCCCCUGUCAGAAGGAAGAUUCCUUUGACUUGCAUAAUCUGAAACAUCUUUUCCAAAUGGUUAAACCGUUACUUCGCUCCCUCAGGUUCAUCAUUUCUCUUAGGUGAUUCAAGUUCAACUCAUUACCCAUCUUAAAAUGUCCAUUUUGAUAAUAUACUGAAUCACCAUAAUAAUAGUUUCCCCCUAAACCGCUAAAUCAGGGAGACUAAGUUCCUCUAACUACGUGGUUUGCUACGAGGCGGUGUAGUUCUGACAGAAUUCACUAGAACUUCUCAAAAUGUCCAAGAUUGCAACCAUGCUCUGAUACCAACUGACACACCAUCCCGAAGGAGGGCAUGCUGGCCGUCACGUGAGAGUGACGUAACCAUUUGCACAGUACGGAAGCUUUAAGAUACAAUUUAUAAGUUGAUACACCCGAAGGUGAGUCCUAAUUUUGACCAAUCUGUCAGAACACCGUCGAAUUCCUCGUAGUCACCACACCUUUGUGAUUCUUGAACCUGGAGGGCGCAAAACCAAAAUUGAGUGGGUCAGUAAAACAAUUCUUUUCCAAAUCCAAACAUUUCUCAAAACGUUGUAACCCCUCUCCGUAAAACCUGUAUACUUUCCCAGAAAUGUAAAAUAUAAAUAUACAUAUAUAUUCUCAAAACUUCAUUUUUACUAUCUCAACAUUUUUCUUUAUCAAUCAUGCCAUGCCAUGUCUAAUUCAACAGUUAAAUAUGGAUGCAUCAACAAUAAUCAUAUCAGGUGCAAGAAAGUAAUCAACCGGAGGCCCUCUAAUAGCCCUGUACGGUUGAACCUAGAGCUCAAAAUCUAUCACUAUCACUCUACCGGAGUCACCUCUGUGACCCGUCCGGCCUUCUGCACACAAGUUACGCUCUAGUGCUUUCUCAUCAAUCAUCUGUGCACAUAAUCUAAGGUCACCCACCAGUCGGAAUCUCACUAACACUCUCGCGACUGGCCUGUCGUACCCACUCCGCGUGGACUGUACGACUAGCAUCUACUUGGAUCCAAGGCGAGCGUGCGAUGCGGUGAAUACUAUAAGCACUAAACCAUGGUGCAGGAUUUGAGCUCAAUAUAUAUCAACAUCAUCAUAACAGUAAUUAAAUACUCACCUGAUACUCACCUGUGCGUCCGCCGCACCAUUCAUUCAUAUGCAUCAUAUCUCAAUUCAUACUUUUCAUAUCAUUUCAUGCAUGGCAAUUCGAUUCACAUUUCUAUAUACUUUUCAUAUACUUUUAUGCAUGGCAUUUCAACUAAUAUAUCUCAUAUACUUUUAUACAUUUUCAUUAAAAGCAUAAUUUCAUGCAUUUUCAAUUUCUGGGAAACGGCAAGUAUAUAUGUAUACGGAAAACAAAACUGUCCACCCACUCACCUGGAGUUCGCCCUACAACUCCCUAGCACAAUACGCCAAGGCGUCAUGACGAUCGGCGCCUAAAACAAUAAUUAAUUCCAACCUCAGAAUUCAUAGUGAUAGAAUAUAUAACUUAUAUAAAAUACGUCACUACGUAGUUCGAUCCGGAAGAUCUGCCACUCAGAUUUUAAAUCCAUAACUUCCAGAGGUCCACAAUAUACCUCUAGGACAACUUCCUAAAAUUUCAUUACCAUCCAACGGUCGGAUCUCCGUCAAUUUCCAAAACUAAGUGACGGUUAACAUUUUAUUUUAUGAACUUACAAUUCCAAUUCCGGAAGAUCCGUAACUCGGAUUCCCAAUCCGUAAGUUCCAAUAAUCCUCAAAUAUUACGUAUUACAACGUAUCAAAGUUUGGUAACGAUCCAACGGUCGGAUCGUCAAUUCACAUUUUCACCAAAACUAUAAAACGUUAUUCGAACGAACACCUAACCAACAAUCCUUAAUAACUUUCUCAUACGGUGCUCAAAUUGGGUAUAUGAAAUAUACCACGGUGAUCUACUCGACGUCACGGACGUCGACAUAUUUUUAAAAAUAAUUUUUUUAUUUAUUUUUUUUUUUAACUGUAGCACCUUCUUCUUCCUUGGGUCGCCGGACUGGUUUUUUCCGGCGGCCGUUUUUCCGGGCAGUUUUUCAAAUUGUCAUAACUUUGUCAUUUCUCAACGAAAUCAAGUGAUUCAAAAACGAAAGUUGUAGCCCUUGAAGAGACAAAGAGAAUGGUACCUUGCACAACACCUAGUUCGCCGUGGUUUGGCCGGAAACUGCCUCGAAAGCCUCGGAGGUCGCCGGAAACUGGGUAUUUUUCAAAUGAGUAUAACUUCUUCAAUACUCAACGAAAUUGAGUGAAACAAAAAGGAAAGUUGUAGUACUUGACGAGACGAAGAGAUUGAUACCUACCUCGACUCCUAACUCGCCGGGGAUUCGCCGGAAAAUUCCUCGAAAGCUCCGGCCAAACUUUGAACUUGUCGAUCUCCGUGUUCUUACGUCCAAAAACUUCCAACGAAGCACUCCGAGCUUCCUUGGAACCUCACUAAGCUCACUGUGAGCUUGGAUUGUCCUAAAACAAAGUCAAUUCGAAGAUCAUGAACAGUGCACUUUCACGGGGAGUUUAGAAUCUAUCUAGGUUUUCCGAAGUAAAACUUACCUGAAAUUGGUGUCUACGUGAUCGUGGAGUCUCCAGGAGUUCGAUGGUGGUCUUAACUCCGUCGUUGGUAUAGAUUUAGGGUGGUUUUGGAGCUCGUCUGUGUGAGUUCGAAGGAGAGGGAGAGAGACAGAGAAUGAGAGAUUGUGAGGGAGGAGAGAGAGAGACAGGGUACGGGAAAUAGGGAGGGAUUUGAGGUGUGUGGUCCUACCUAACCUCAAAUCAUAAAAUUCCAUCUCCAAAUAACUUAGAAACAUAUAUUUCACCAAUAUAUGAUUCACAUAUCUUAAUCACGUUUAAGGGAAAUUCCGUCAAUUUACAAUCACGAGUGUAAAACUUUGGGACGGGCUGUGACAUUUUGCAUCAUUAGAAAUGAACAUUUCAAAUAGUAGGUAGGUAAAUUAAUUUGUUCUAAUUAUAUAAAAAAAAUUACACUACACCUAGUUAUAUUUAAUUUUUCCAAUUAUUAAAAAAAUUUAUACUACACCCAACCAAAUAACAUUUAUCUAACUUGUAGGUAAAUUAUUUUCCAUGUAUUGUUAGAUAUGUUAGGCACGUUUUAUUGUUGUAUAAACAUGGGUGUAACAUAGUUUUUUUAAUACUAUGCAUCGAACUACAUUUCUUCUUAAUAUAGGUAAAUUAUUUUUUUUCAUGUAUUAGUACAUAUGUUAGGCACGUUUUGUUGUUUGGUAUAAACAUUAUUUUGCAUCAUUGUAAAACAGAGAUAUUAUAUUACACCCAUGGUAUAAUUGUUGUAGGUAAAUUAAUGUGCAUGUAGAUAAUGAAAUACACUGUUCUAAAUAUAUUAAUAAAAAAAGAUAAAUUCAAAAUUCAAAAGUAUUCAAGAGUAGGGUGAAAAAAACCGAAUCGAAUAGUUUUAUGAAAAUUCAAAGCCUUUCUAAAAAAUUAAUAUGCAAUAAAUUUUUGACAUUAAUGUC